rnacentral:lncRNA from 1 species
GAUAACGGUUGAUGUUAGCAUGUCUUCCCCAGCACAAUCUGGAGUUUGCCCAGAAAAUUCUGUAAACAGAAGUUUUACUGUGUGCAAACUAUAAACUUUUCUUUCCAGGCAUUGUGGAGAAUGGAGCUUUUUACUGUGCAGCUGGGGGACAUCAGGAGCAUGCGUUUAAAACAUAAACUUCCUUAAGUGGAAAAAGAAUGCUUCUCUGUCUUCAGAAGCGCUUUGCUAUGUGACAUUUUUGCCUUUGUGAAUUUUACAUCUGUGUUAGCCCUUUUCUUUGCUUGUUACGUUUGGCUGGUCAUGAAGGUAGAAGCUAAACACACACACACACACACACGUGUGCAUACACCCACACUCAUAAAGGGUUUUCUUCUUCCACUUUAACUUUUAAUCUACUUGGCUUGUAGUGAAGUGGACAGUCUUGUUUUUGAACCACAUUGUGACAGAGCUUCAUCAUUACUUUGCCAAGGAGUAGAAAAUGCCAAGUUUUUAAAAUUCGGUUUCUUCUCUGGGGGAUCAUCGCGUUGAAGUUAUUGGAGACGAACUGACCCCAUGGUUGGAAAGGGGAAAACACACCUCAUUUCGUCUUAAACUGUCCAAUAACAAUGGCUGACCUUCGGGUUCUCCAGUGUGCUUUGUGAAGUCCUUUCAUUGAUAUGAUUGUGUUGAUUGCUCUCAAAGCUGCGAUUAUUAAGUCCAUUCCACCAUCAGGAACCUGAGGCGGGGGGCGGGGGGGGGCAGUGAAAGAAGUUUUCCUCUUCAAAUGUCUUCUCUUUUCUCCCUCUGACAGUGCUAUGGCUAGACCUUCAGCCCCUCGCACCCCAAUUAAUGCUCUUUCUUUCAUCUUGUUUUUCAAGAUGUAUGUAAGUUGCCCAAAGAUGGAGGAACUUGCAGGAAAUUUAUCAUAAAAUGGUACCAUGACGCGGUGACUGGAAACUGUGCAAGAUUCUGGUAUGGAGGUUGUGGUGGAAAUGAAAACAGAUUUGAUUCGCAGGAAGAAUGUGAAAAGGUUUGCUCUCCUGUGCUCGUCAAACCCAAAGUCAUAGCUGCAAUUGGGACCUAAGCGUGGCCCCCGUGACACAUACCUCUUGAGGAAGAAGGAGGCAGCCACUGCAAGUCGUCUCUGUAGAAGCCCUCGGUGUAGACCGCCUUGCACUGUGCCGUUUCAUGCUUUGAGUUACACUCGGACUUGGGAGGAAACGUCUGCCGCAUGACUAUCCAUAUGGUGCUAACUGUGUCUGUGGACCCAGCGCUCUCUGUCUCUAGGCAGUUACAUCGUAUACUUUGAACGUUGCGCAACAGUUACCCACUGCUGGUGUUUCUGUGAAUAUCCCCAUAAAGUCAGAUUCCCUCUGGAGUUUCACCUUAUGCCUGUCUCAGGCAGGUGUAAGGUCUAGAAAAUAACCCCCAACUUCACAGCUACUCUGUAUCCUUCCGCUUGGUUCAUUCCUGCCCCGCCUUUCAUUAAGCAUGAUUUUAGAUGGAAAGCCUGUUGUAUGGAGAAUAAGCAAGAGUCCACGUGUUCAUGUACCACCAAUUUCCUGGAUUCGAUUGCGAGCUAAUUUUCUUUUUUCUAAAGCUUCUAAGGAACAAUCUAGGGAGGCAGAAGCCAACUCCCUUAAUCUUUGUGCGCCAUUGCGGGACCAAUGCCUUCAUUAAAGGAUGAAAAGAAAGUCAUAAUAGAGAAUAUUUUUGGCAUUCCUC